AGCGAACGCUGGCGGCAGGCCUAACACAUGCAAGUCGAACGGAUCCUUCGGGAUUAGUGGCGGACGGGUGAGUAACACGUGGGAACGUGCCCUUUGGUUCGGAACAACUCAGGGAAACUUGAGCUAAUACAGGAUGUGCCCUUCGGGGGAAAGAUUUAUCGCCAUUGGAGCGGCCCGCGUCUGAUUAGGUAGUUGGUGAGGUAAAGGCUCACCAAGGCGACGAUCAGUAGCUGGUCUGAGAGGAUGAUCAGCCACAUUGGGACUGAGACACGGCCCAAACUCCUACGGGAGGCAGCAGUGGGGAAUCUUGCGCAAUGGGCGAAAGCCUGACGCAGCCAUGCCGCGUGAAUGAUGAAGGUCUUAGGAUUGUAAAAUUCUUUCACCGGGGACGAUAAUGACGGUACCCGGAGAAGAAGCCCCGGCUAACUUCGUGCCAGCAGCCGCCGUAAGAC
rnacentral:rRNA from 1 species